rnacentral:rRNA from 1 species
UGGGGAAUAUUGCACAAUGGAGGGAACUCUGAUGCAGCAACGCCGCGUGCGGGAUGACGGCCUUCGGGUUGUAAACCGCUUUCAGCCAUGACGAAGCUUUUGUGACGGUAGUGGUAGAAGAAGCACCGGCUAACUACGUGCCAGCAGCCGCGGUGAUACGUAGGGUGCGAGCGUUUUCCGGAAUUAUUGGGCGUAAAGAGCUUGUAGGCGGUUUGUCGCGUCGAUAGUGUAAACACGCAGCUUAACUGUGUGCCUGCUGUCGAUACGGGCUGACUAGAGGAGGGUAGGGGAGAAUGGAAUUCCCGGUGGAGCGGUGGAAUGCGCAGAUAUCGGGAGGAACACCAGUGGCGAAGGCGGUUCUCUGGACCUUUCCUGACGCUGAGAAGCGAAAGCGUGGGUAGCAAACAGG